rnacentral:misc_RNA from 1 species
AGCAGUACUGCCUAUAGGAAUAAUCAUUAACAGAUAAAAUAUGUCUGGCAUGAUUGUUCUACAGGCUUUAUGCCUGCCCGUUGGCCAAUGUGCCUGAUAUUAUAUCUAGCUUAAAUGCCUAUCCACAGGCUUCAUGCCUAACAUGACCGACGUAUACUGGAUAGACAUAUGACUGUCUAACUAGUAUACUCUCGUAUAUCCACCUUUUAUAAUUUGU